rnacentral:rRNA from 1 species
CCUACGGGUGGCAGCAGUGGGGGAUAUUGCACAAUGGGGGGAACCCUGAUGCAGCGACGCCGCGUGGGUGAAGGAGCGUUUCGGCGCGUAAAGCCCUAUCGGCAGGGAAGAAGAGGACGGCACCUGACCAAGAAGCCCCGGCGAACUACGGGCCAGCAGCCGCGGUAAUCCGUAGGGGGAAAGCGUUAUCCGGAUUUACGGGGGGUAAAGGGGGCGCAGACGGCAAUGCAAGGCAGGGGUGAAAGCCCGGGGCCCAACCCCGGGACUGCUCGUGAAACUGCAUGGCUGGAGUACAGGAGGGGCAGGCGGAAUUCGUAGUGUAGCGGUGAAAUGCGUAGAUAUUAGGAGGAACACCGGUGGCGAAGGCGGCCUGCUGGACUGUGACUGACGUUGAGGCCCGAAGGCGUGGGGAGCAAACAGGAUUAGAUACCCUUGUAGUC